rnacentral:rRNA from 1 species
AGUGAACGCUGGCGGUAGGCCUAACACAUGCAAGUCGAACGGCAGCACAGUAAGAGCUUGCUCUUACGGGUGGCGAGUGGCGGACGGGUGAGGAAUACAUCGGAAUCUACUUUUUCGUGGGGGAUAACGUAGGGAAACUUACGCUAAUACCGCAUACGACCUACGGGUGAAAGCAGGGGAUCUUCGGACCUUGCGCGAUUGAAUGAGCCGAUGUCGGAUUAGCUAGUUGGCGGGGUAAAGGCCCACCAAGGCGACGAUCCGUAGCUGGUCUGAGAGGAUGAUCAGCCACACUGGAACUGAGACACGGUCCAGACUCCUACGGGAGGCAGCAAUGGGGAAUAUUGGACAAUGGGCGCAAGGCUGAUCCAGCCAUACCGCGUGGGUGAAGAAGGCCUUCGGGUUGUAAAGCCCUUUUGUUGGGAAAGAAAAGCAGCAGGUUAAUACCCCGCUGUUCUGACGGUACCCAAAGAAUAAGCACCGGCUAACUUCGUG